rnacentral:lncRNA from 1 species
AUGUGGAUGCUGGGACGGACCUGUCGAGUCCCUCUUGCGUGGUGGGGACAUCUUGGCACUAGGCCAGCGUGGAGUAGAUGCUCAGGAAACGGCCCAUGCGCAAUGGCUAACGAGCCCUGGGAGACACAGGAGCAGCUACCACGGACCGCUGUACCCUCCCUUCUCAACUGUGUUUCAGAAGAGACUUUGGAAUACCAGAGCUGGGGCGGGUGGCAGCACCGGGGGGCCCAGAGGACAGGCAGGACCAGGCAGGCCCUGCCAGUGACCAGCUGUGUGGCGUCAGGCAAGCCCUGUGCUGCUCAUCGCCAGCUGUCCCAGGUGGCCUUUCCGGGGCACAGACUGGCCCCCAUCACCGCCGUGUGUGAGAGAGACCAGGCUCUGAUCUCCCAGCACUCAGUCCGCUGCUCGCUCUUCAGGAACAACUCCUACUUCUCCAGGAAAGCUGAUGCCACUCUCCGGAACGCAGAUCCCUCUCCUCUCCACUCUGUGACCUUGGCCCUGCUCUGGAAGUAUACCCCACCACACAUGGAUUCUCCUUCCCCCGUCCUGCCCCUGCCUAGGACAAGCUUGGGUACCCCCAGGAUGGCAAAGCCACCCCCUUAAAACCUUCUCUCGUUACCCUGUGCCUCCCUCCUGCCCUUCUUGGCCAAGCAAUUGCUAAAUUCUCCGUCUCUCUCUCUCCCCAUCCCAUGAUCAGCAUCCCCUGGAACCCGUUCCCAUCUGUUCGCUGGCUGUCUGUCUCCUCCACUCGAAUGCGACAUUGCCAGGGGCGGGGGCUGGUCCUUUGUUCUCUGCUGCGUCCUCAGUGCCUGGCCCAGAGAAGGCACACGACAGGCGUGUGUUGAGUGGACAGGACAUCUCUUGUUUGUGGGAGAACAGCUGUUUCCCAUGGAGCCCCUCAGGGCAGGGGCCCGGAGGUUCCGGCCCCACCUUUGCUCUGGGGGCAUCCAUGCUCCAUGCCACAGAGCGUGGCACCAACUCUGGGACGUGUAGGCUGGGCCGGGUCACUCCUGGGCAUGUGCCCUGUAAUACUGGCAGGGCCUUGGGCAGAGCAAGGUCCAUGUUCCUUAGCCUUGCCCUGGAGCCUCUCCAGCCGUGGUUGGAGCCCGCCCCCACCCCCUCUCGGACUGUCCACUCCUGGUGACGGCCACGCGCUGGCCCCGACCCGAGUCAGGGCCCCUGCAUCCACACCAGAGCCCCUUCUCCUAAGCGUCCGCUGGGCACUGCCCCCACCACUUUGUCACUUAUGACUCUUUAUCCAAACUAUCUAGUUCCAUGCCGGUCUCUGACUGGGCUGGGGUUGGGGGGCAGGUGGGGUUGGGGGGCUCCACGUACCUCAGCACCUCUCAGAGGGCCCAGCCCGCAGUCCAUGGCCCUGCACAGGGCUGUGGAAGGCUUGCUGAGGUGGCCAUGUUUACUCUUGGCCCUCAAUUCUCAGUCCCCCCGAUCCCCUGUCAUUCAGACCCCCUCCCUUUCCUAAAGGAACAGGCCCCCACCUUGUCCUCACCCAGGGUGAUGCUGUUUUCACCUCUCCCCCUAGAGGACACAGCAAACCCAACUGUACUUUGGCCAGAAGUGACUUGAAACAAACCCGAAAGUUUACUUUGGAAAGGAGUUAAUAAUAAAAGUUGGAAGGCGUCUUUGGGACGAUAAACACCUCCUUUUUCCUUUCUCCCGGCUUCUGGCACAGCACCUUCCCUUAGUGGAAAUGCUUUCUGGGACAUGACCACAGGGCUUAGGAAGACCAAUGGGGCCAUCAACUGCAGGGGAGAUUGAGCGGGGGAAGAGAACUCCACAAAAAGCAGAAAGUGUGCUUCUCAUCUCCUGAAAGCUGAGGUACCAUUUCUGUAAUCCACCUUCAUUGUUCUUGCAAGAAUGGCUCUGGACUGAGAGCUGGGUUUUUAGAAGUAAGGCAGAUUCUCAAAACCCUGCACCUCUCCAGGAAGAGUGAAUAAGAGCCCAAAGUUUCCAGAAAUAAAUGCAGAAAUGGAAGAAGCACCUUUGGAACCCAAGAGAAAUUAUUCUGUAAGUGUAGAAGGUUGUCAGAGCAAUACCACCAAAAUAAACAUCUCUGAUAAGGAACUAAAAUUAUAAUGAAAAUAAGGUACUUUAAAAUGUCAAAUUAGCUACAUCUUUAACAUAAACAAAAACAACAGAAAACUGUCAUUUCUUUUAAUGCCUAACUAAAGUAGGAGAAAGUAAGAGAAGCUUUCAAACUUCUAUAGCACAAGUGGACUUUUAGAACAGAGUCUGAGCAGGUUAAACUCUGAAUUUUUAAACAUACCACUAAUAACUUUGUAUUCUUUUUCACAAAGACACUGAAGAGGCUGUAGACCUCCUGAUAAAUAUAUUAAGGCUCCCACGGGGGGAACAAUUUCUCUUCUGAUUGGCCACGGAGAUUUCAAAUGGGCUGAAAUACAUAUUUUAUACUGAAAAUGUUAUUAACCAGUCGAUGGGGGUUGGGAAAAGAGAAGGGAAGCAUGUUCAAAUAAAACAAACUUCUUCUGAAAACUGUAAGUGGCCUUCCCAACUUUCUAACUACCAUUUUAAAAAAUCAAUUAAAAAAAUUUCAAAACAGAAAUAACUUUUUUCAUCAUUUCAAAGUAAAGCUCUAAAACGUCUCCUAACUUGGGACUAG